UACGUAGGGUGCAAGCGUUGUCCGGAAUUAUUGGGCGUAAAGAGCUCGUAGGCGGUGUGUCACGUCGGCCGUGAAAACCUGCAGCUUAACUGUGGGCGUGCGGUCGAUACGGGCAUCACUGGAGUUCGGCAGGGGAGACUGGAAUUCCUGGUGUAGCGGUGAAAUGCGCAGAUAUCAGGAGGAACACCCGGUAGGCGAAGGCGGUCAUCUCGCGGCGGUACUGACGCUGAGGAGCGAAAGCGUGGGGAGCAAACAGG
rnacentral:rRNA from 1 species